GAUGAACGCUGGCGGCGUGCUUAACACAUGCAAGUCGAGCGAGAAACUACACGCAGACACUUCGGUAGAAGCGAGUAGCGGAAAGCGGCGGACGGGUGAGUAACGCGUAGGCAACCUGCCCUUCACAGAGGUAUAGCCUCGGGAAACCGGGAUUAAAACCGCAUAAAAUCAUAGGUUCGCAUGAACCAAAGGUCAAAGAUUUAUCGGUGAAGGAUGGGCCUGCGUCUGAUUAGCUGGUUGGUAGGGUAAAAGCCUACCAAGGCGACGAUCAGUAGCCGACCUGAGAGGGUGAUCGGCCACAUUGGAACUGAGACACGGUCCAAACUCCUACGGGAGGCAGCAGUGGGGGAUAUUGCACAAUGGGGGAAACCCUGAUGCAGCAACGCCGCGUGAGGUAUGAAGGCCUUUGGGUUGUAAGCCUCUGUCCUAGGGGAAGAAAAAAAGGACGUACCCGAGGAGG
rnacentral:rRNA from 1 species